rnacentral:rRNA from 1 species
CAAUAGCGUAUAUUAAAGUUGUUGCGGUUAAAAAGCUCGUAGUUGGAGUUCUGCCAGGUGCCGCCUGUCCGCCCCAGUGGUGAGUACGUGGCGCGCAUUUGGCCCUUUCAAGGGGAGCGUAUCUGCACUUUAUUGUGUGGUGCGGGAUCCUUGACUUUUACUUUGAGGAAAUAGGAGUGUUCCAAGCAGGCUCUCGUCGUGCACAGCUCAGCAUGGAAUAAUAGCAUUGGACCUCGAUUCUAAGCUGUUGGUUGCCGGAAGCGAGGUAAUGAUGAAGAGGGAUAGUUGGGGGCAUUCGUAUUUAGCUGUCAGGGGUGGAAUUCUUGGAUUUGUUAAAGACGGACUACUGCGAAAGCAUCUGCCAUGGAUGUUUUCAUUGA